UCCCUGGUGGCUCAGACGGUAAAGCGUCUGCCUGCAAUGCGGGAGACCCAGGUUCAAUUCCUGGGUCUGGAA
rnacentral:tRNA from 1 species